AGCUCUCGAAAAGUAAAAGAGGCAGAAAUUAAGCUUGACAAGUAGUGAAGGCAUGCUACUGACCUUUAUAUUAUCGAGCCUAUUUGCUUGAGGUAAAUAUUGAAACUGCGACAGAACUCCUGAAUCACUGAGUCAGUUAAAGGUUUAAAUUCGAAGGUAAAAUAUUAAAUUUAGUUGAAUGAAUAAUCUUCACGGUAGGUGAUUAUUUGGUCAUGGGCACUAGGGUUUGUAAUUAGGAAAUCAGGCUUCCAAUGUCACUCUCUAUGUACGAGAUGAAGAAGACCAUAUUUAAUAAGGG
rnacentral:lncRNA from 1 species